rnacentral:rRNA from 1 species
GACGAACCGUGCGAACGUUGUUCGGAAUCACUGGGCUUAAAGGGUGCGUAAGCGGGCCGCCGCGUCCGGGGUGAAAUCCCACGGCUCAACCGUGGAACGGCCCCGGGUACGGGCGGUCUGGAGGGGAGUAGGGGCAGGCGGAACUGUGCGUGGAGCGGUGAAAUGCGUUGAUAUGCACAGGAACUCCGGUGGCGAAGGCGGCCUGCUGGGCUCUUUCUGACGCUGAGGCACGAAAGCCAGGGGAGCGAACGGG